rnacentral:rRNA from 1 species
UGGGGAAUAUUGCACAAUGGGCGAAAGCCUGAUGCAGCGACGCCGCGUGCGGGAUGAAGGCCUUCGGGUUGUAAACCGCUUUUAAUUGGGAGCAAGCGAGAGUGAGUGUACCUUUUGAAUAAGCACCGGCUAACUACGUGCCAGCAGCCGCGGUAAUACGUAGGGUGCAAGCGUUAUCCGGAAUUAUUGGGCGUAAAGAGCUCGUAGGCGGUUUGUCACGCCUGGUGUGAAAGUCCAUCGCUUAACGGUGGAUCUGCGCCGGGUACGGGCAGGCUAGAGUGCAGUAGGGGAGAUUGGAAUUCCCGGUGUAACGGUGGAAUGUGUAGAUAUCGGGAAGAACACCAAUGGCGAAGGCAGAUCUCUGGGCUGUUACUGACGCUGAGGAGCGAAAGCAUGGGGAGCGAACAGGAUUAGAUACCCUGGUAGUCCAUGCCGUAAAACGGUGGAUGCUGGAUGUGGGACCCUUCCACGGGUUCCGUGUCGGAGCUAACGCGUUAAGCAUCCCGCCUGGGGAGUACGGCCGCAAGGCUAAAAACUCUAAAGUGAAUUGACGGGGGUCAUA